GCGCGAAAACUUUACAAUGCAGGAAACUGUGAUAAGGGAACCCCGAGUGCCCGUAUACGCGGGCUGUCCAGGUGUUUAAAAGUCAUCUGAAGAAAGGGCCGGGCAAGACCGGUGCCAGCCGCCGCGGUAACACCGGCGGCCCGAGUGGUGAUCGUGAUUAUUGGGUCUAAAGGGUCCGUAGCCGGUUUGGUCAGUCCUCCGGGAAAUCUGACGGCUUAACCGUUAGGCUUUCGGGGGAUACUGCCAGGCUUGGAACCGGGAGAGGUAAGAGGUACUACAGGGGUAGGAGUGAAAUCUUGUAAUCCC
rnacentral:rRNA from 1 species